CAUGUAGAUAAGACUCCUAUGCAUAAUUUAUUGAAUUUCUACCCUCAUUGUCAAUUCUUGUGUUGGUUUUCUUAUCAAUGUAUUUCUCUCUUUCUUUGGAGUUAUUCACGCUUGACAGCACCCCUCACCCACUUUCUUUCUUCCUCACCUUCAUCCUUCUGGUCCAGUAAUUGCAGUAAAUAUUCCUAAAGACACAAAUGUGCCUCUCAGUCCUCGAAUCAGAUGCCUCUUUUGUCCAAAUAUAGCCUGCCUCUAGUUGGGGGUGGAGGUGGGGGAGUUCUCAAGAAAUAGGAUGUGGCUGUGAUUCAGGAAGUCUAGGGAGGAUUCUGAGUAUCCUCAUCUUUCAUAAAACUCCAGUGGCAUUCCUGACAUGCUUUUCCAGCUGAGAACUGCUGCCCGAAGUCAUUCUCUCUACAGCUUUGCUCCAUUCCUCACUUGUUACCAAAUGGACAUUCCCCACUAUGAAGGAGAGGACAUUUCAGCUAUGAGAGUGAGUAAAAGACUCACCAUCCCUGAGAACUGCUUUUGUUCUGGAGUAAGUUCCAGAUUGGGUGAGACCCCUAUCCCAGCACUCCAGAGAUGCUGCUGAUCCUGUUGCGCCAAAGCAGGGGCUCCAUUGCUGAGUUGUUGUUUUUUAAGUAGGGGUUUAAACUCAACUAUAAAAAUCAAGAAAAUAUGUUCUAUGGUGUUUCCUGGGAGGAUCUGCUUCACCACUGUCCAGUGUCUGGCCCAAGAUGGAGCCCAUAUGGCGGUCAGCAGCCAGGAAGCAGCAGAAUGUGGACCAGGCAGUGGCAAUGCUGCAGGGGGAGGGGCUGAGCGUGACAAGCAGGGUGUGCCACCUGGGGAAGGUCAAGGACCAGGAGCGGCUGGUGGCCACAGUGAGGGAGAGUGGUUAUCAUUUCUCUCUGCAGAACACGGAACUUCUGGGAUAGAGAUUCCAAAAGAUCCACUAGGAAGAAUCUUUAGUAUUACUCCUACCCAUGCCUGGUAUAGAACACUCUGAAGCCAAAAGAGAGAUCAUUAGUCUAGAAUAAAGGCAAAUUUGGCUGUAUUUCACAAAAGUGUCCAUACUAGUAUUCCUUAUUGGAUAUUGAGUAUUCAAGUGUGGCAUGAAAACAAAAAAUUGGUCCUGGCCCUCAGAAUGCUUCGAGACAGAGGAGACAAGUGGAUGAAGGCAGAAGAGGGCUCUAAUCCUGACCUAACCUCCUCUUGCUCACUUUCAUAAUCCUCAGUCUCCACUUCUGUCUGUAUGUGCCCCAUUCAUACGUGGCUCCAUCUGCGUGUACCCCUUCUUUCUCUUCCCAAGGGAAGCUCUGUGGUUCUUGUCUCCUUGAUUGAGGUGUACACCCAGAAGCUGUAAGUAUGAACUUCUGUGGCUCUAGAGAAAGCACACAACCCUAUUUGCCAACAAAAGGGGAAAUGUCCAAGAAGAUCCCAGGGCCAGCCAUUGCUAGGUGGGGCACACCUACAUAAAGUUUGAUCGGUGGGUGUCUCAGAUCUUCUUUCUCUAGAAGGGACACACAUGGCACCUUUUACCCCAUCAAUGAUCUUUGCACUUGCUGCUGAAGGGAUGUAUUUCUAGGCACAGGCCUAGAAAUCCAAUUGAAAUUCUCCCCAGUUACCAUACUUGUCAGCUACUUCCCUUUCUGUUCACAGAAACUAGGGGCCUACAACCUCAGUAAAACAGCCAUUCUAGGACUCUCCCAGAACUGGCAUCAAAGAUCUAGGUGAACUGUCUACUGCCAGGAGUCACUGAUGCAGACUUCAGCCAAAUGAUACGGACGAAGGACAGCUCCUGCUCCUGCCCCACUAAGCAGGAGGGUGCCUUCCCCUGCCAGGCCAUGCCCCACAGGGACCUGGAGUUUCAGACCUCAACCUA